ensembl:lncRNA
AUGUCCUGCACUGGAGGAACUGUCCCCAUCACCCCCAUGGAGGGGCUUUCUGGGAGGUCAUGCUCCCAAGGGCACCUCUGCCCUGUAGGAUUGACUGAAGCUGCUCCGUGUCCUCCUGGCUUCUAUGCCUCUGGCACCCACCCCACAAAGUGUCACAUCUGCCCCAGCGGCCACUACUGUGCUCCCGGGCUGAGGCCACAGCUGUGUCCAAGAGGUUUCUACUGCCCUGAAGGAACAGAGCUCAGCUGGCAGCCCUGCCCCGCGGGCACCUACGGUCCUGUGCCUGGGCUGAGCAGCCUGCAGGCGUGUCGAGCCUGUGAUGGCGGCAGGUUUUGCCCCAGGGCCAACGCCACAGAGGCCGGCGGGCAGUGCUGGGAGGGCUUCUUCUGCUCCAGAGGGUCCACCCGGCCCAACCCAGAGGCCGGCACUGAAGAGAGGGCCGGCCCUUGUCCUCCGGGACACUACUGCCCUAGGGGCUCAGCCAUGCCCCAGCCCUGCCCACCUGGCACUUUUAGCCCACACAGCAAGCUCAGCUCAGAGGUAGGAGACCCUGGCCCAGGGAAAAGUCCGGGUGUGAAGAGGGCCUGUUUGGUCUAGCCUCUAAGAUCCAAGGUUGUUGCACAGCCUCACAGGCGCAUCUCUUGCAGGCUGCCUGCUCCCCUUGCCCACCUGGCUACUACUGCAGCUCUCCUGGCCUCGCCAGCCCUUCUGGGCCCUGCAGCACAGGCUUCUUCUGCCUCACUGGGGCCCUCGUCCCUAAUGGCUCCCUGGGAGACCAGACCAGUGGCCCUUGCCCUGCAGGUACCCCCAGGGCUGGCCUGAGGAGGAACCAAGGAAAGCGGGGAAGGAGCAAGCUCCAAGGUGGCCCCCAGUCAGGGCUGAGGGUGCCCCAGACCCUCCAGGAUCUGGGUUUAGGAUGGAGCUGCUCUGAGCACUAGGGAGUGGGCCUGCCUUGGCCCUGACUGUCGGGUCUGCUUCCCUUCCAGGACACUUCUGCCCCCUGGGCACUGCAGCCCCCAGGCCCUGCCCAGCAGGCACCCACAAUGGCCAGGCUGCCCAGGACCAUUGCAAGCCUUGUCCUGAGGGGUAAGUGCACCAGGUAUCCCCCUCCCAAAUCCCAGGGCAGCUGGCAGGCCCCUUUCAACAUCACAGAACUUCCACUUUUUCUUCUCCCCUUAUUUGUCUCCUGGUAUCACCAGGUCAUGCCUCAUUUCAAACCUGGGCCUCUCUGGCUGUAAUUUAAGUCACUUAAGGUCCACACAAAGCCCUCCCGCAUGCCCCGUGCGCUGCUGAGAGCUGUGUCCCCAUGCAGGGAUGUCCUCUGCAGCCACGGAAGGAAGGCAAGCCCAGGCACCAUCUCCUCCCUACACUGAGUCACAGGCCACACAGGUCUCUGACCCCUGACUUGUCCCUGUAGCUUCUUCUGCCCGGCCAACACCUCCUCUGUGCUGGGGAACCAGUGUCCUGCCGGCCACUACUGUCCUGCCUCCACCGCCUUUGCUUUCCAGUUCCCCUGCCCCCGGGGCACCUAUAGGCCACAGAGACGGGGCACCCAGUGGUCAGACUGCAGCCCUUGUGAGCCAGGUACGGGGACAGG